CCUACGGGGGGCAGCAGUGAGGAAUAUUGGUCAAUGGACGAGAGUCUGAACCAGCCAAGUAGCGUGAAGGAUGACUGCCCUAUGGGUUGUAAACUUCUUUUAUAAAGGAAUAAAACGAGGCACGUGUGCCUUUUUGCAUGUACUUUAUGAAUAAGGAUCGGCUAACUCCGUGCCAGCAGCCGCGGUAAUACGGAGGAUCCGAGCGUUAUCCGGAUUUAUUGGGUUUAAAGGGAGCGUAGAUGGGUUGUUAAGUCAGUUGUGAAAGGUUGCGGCUCAACCGUAAAAUUGCAAUUGAUACUGGCAGUCUUGAGUACAGUUGAGGUAGGCGGAAUUCGUGGUGUAGCGGUGAAAUGCUUAGAUAUCACGAAGAACCCCGAUUGCGAAGGCAGCUUACUAAACUGUGACUGACAUUGAUGCUCGAAAGUGUGGGUAUCAAACAGGAUUAGAUACCCGUGUAGUC
rnacentral:rRNA from 1 species